rnacentral:misc_RNA from 1 species
GUAGCACAUGUGGGUGUGGAUCUGAGUUGUGUCUUGGACGCCGACGUUUGUGAUGCGGAAAGAGUGAACAGCCCAAUCCAAGUAGAAGGCUUGCUCAGACUUCCUAAGAGGCAAUCCUUCUCUCAAAGCAGCCUCAUCGAUUUGGAUGACCUGAAUACCACCAGCCUCAAGGUCCUCGACCUCCUUCUUGAUGGCAAGAGCAAUCUGGUAGCAUGUCUCAAACCUCGGCUGGUCAUUCCUGACAAAAGACCAGUUAAGGAUUGUGACGGGACCAGUCAACAUUCCCUUCAUGGGGCGAGAGGUCAUGCUCUGCGCCA